CCUACGGGAGGCAGCAGUAGGGAAUUUUCGUCAAUGGGCGCAAGCCUGAACGAGCAAUGCCGCGUGAACGAGGAAGGUCUUCGGAUCGUAAAGUUCUGUUGAAGGGGAAAAAGAGCGGAGAGAGGAAAUGCUUUCUGAUUGAUAUUACCCUUCGAGGAAGUCACGGCUAACUACGUGCCAGCCGCCGCGGUAAUACGUAGGUGGCGAGCGUUAUCCGGAUUGAUUGGGCGUAAAGGGUGCGUAGGCGGCCUGCUAAGUCUGGAGUGAAAGGUACCGGCUCAACCGGUACAGGCUCUGGAAACUGGCGGGCUAGAGGGGAGGAGAGGGCGGUGGAACUCCAUGUGUAGCGGUAAAAGGCGUAGAUAUAUGGAAGAACAUCAGUGGCGAAGGCGGCCGCCUGGCCUGUUAACUGACGCUGAGGCACGAAAGCGUGGGGAGCAAAUAGGAUUAGAUACCCUGGUAGUC
rnacentral:rRNA from 1 species